GUGAAUCAUCGAAUCUUUGAACGCAUAUUGCACUCUCUGGCAUUCCGGAGGGGAUGCCGGUUGGAGGAUCAGUAUAAUCUAAAGCGGAGCGAUGCUUUUUUGGUGGCGCACCGGAGUUUGGGUCAUCUUAACGCGUUUUUUUAGGGGGCCUAAAAUUAGCAUUCUUUUUUGCGCAAUGUUAGUACGUACAUGAUUUUGUUUUGUUCGUCUAGCCUAUGU
rnacentral:misc_RNA from 1 species